rnacentral:rRNA from 1 species
CAACUUGAGAGUUUGAUCCUGGCUCAGAAUGAACGCUGGCGGCAGGCCUAACACAUGCAAGUCGAACGGGCACUUUCGGGUGCUAGUGGCGGACGGGUGAGUAACACGUGGGAACAUGCCCUUUGGUACGGAAUAGCCUCGGGAAACUGAGAGUAAUACCGUAUGUGCCCUUCGGGGGAAAGAUUUAUCGCCAAAGG